UACGUAGGGUGCGAGCGUUAAUCGGAAUUACUGGGCGUAAAGCGUGCGCAGGCGGUUAUAUAAGACAGUUGUGAAAUCCCCGGGCUCAACCUGGGAAUUGCAUCUGUGACUGUAUAGCUAGAGCACGGUAGAGGGGGAUGGAAUUCCGCGUGUAGCAGUGAAAUGCGUAGAUAUGCGGAGGAACACCGAUGGCGAAGGCAAUCCCCUGGACCUGUACUGACGCUCAUGCACGAAAGCGUGGGGAGCAAACAGG
rnacentral:rRNA from 1 species